UACGUAGGAUGCAAGCGUUGUUCGGAAUUACUGGGCGUAAAGAGUACGUAGGCGGUAAUGUAAGUCUGAUAUUAAAGACCAAAGCUUAACUUCGGGACUGUAUUGGAAACUGCAUUACUAGAGGACAAUAGAGGAAGUUGGAAUUCUCAGUGUAGCGGUGAAAUGCGUAGAUAUUGGGAAGAACACCAGUGGCGAAAGCGAAACUUCUGGGUUGUUACUGACGCUGAGGUACGAAAGCGUGGGGAGCAAACGGG
rnacentral:rRNA from 1 species